AGAGUUUGAUCCUGGCUCAGAUUGAACGCUGGCGGCAUGCUUUACACAUGCAAGUCGAACGGUAACAGGGGAGCUUGCUCCCGCUGACGAGUGGCGAACGGGUGAGUAAUGCAUCGGAACGUGCCGAAUAGUGGGGGAUAACGCACCGAAAGGUGUGCUAAUACCGCAUACGCCCUGAGGGGGAAAGUGGGGGACCGCAAGGCCUCACGCUAAUCGAGCGGCCGAUGUCGGAUUAGCUAGUUGGUGGGGUAAAGGCUCACCAAGGCGACGAUCCGUAGCGGGUCUGAGAGGAUGAUCCGCCACACUGGGACUGAGACACGGCCCAGACUCCUACGGGAGGCAGCAGUGGGGAAUUUUGGACAAUGGGGGAAACCCUGAUCCAGCCAUGCCGCGUGUCUGAAGAAGGCCUUCGGGUUGUAAAGGACUUUUGUCCGGGAGGAAACCCUGAUCGUUAAUAGCGGUCGGGACCGACAGUACCGGAAGAAUAAGCACCGGCUAACUACGUGCCAGCAGCCGCGGUAAU
rnacentral:rRNA from 1 species